UACAGAGGGUGCGAGCGUUAAUCGGAGUUACUGGGCGUAAAGGGCGCGUAGGUGGCCACCAUAAGGCCGCGGUGAAAGUUUGGGGCUCAACCCCAGAUCGGCCGCGGCGACUGGUGGGGCUGGGGCACUGUAGAGGCAGGAUGGAAUUCCGGGUGUAGCGGUGGAAUGCGUAGAGAUCCGGAAGAACACCAGUGGCGAAGGCGGCCUGCUGGGCAGUUGCUGACACUGAUGCGCGGA
rnacentral:rRNA from 1 species